AGCCUUUGUGUUGCCCAUUCACUUCUGGAAAUCAGUGCCUGUGGUGUCAAAAAAGGUAUAAACCAAACACUUCUGCAGCCUUUCUGCCCUCGUAUUUGAAAUCUUUGGAGUAGAAGCUGCAUAAGUAAUAGCU
ensembl:snoRNA